rnacentral:tRNA from 1 species
GGGGGCUGUGGCCCAGUGAUAGAGCAUCUGCUUUGUAUGCAAAAGGUCUUAGGUUAAAUUUCUGGCAUCUCUG